UCACCUGUGGCAGACAUCCCGGAUGGAGGUCAGAGCCCUGUCCACCCGCCCCCACACCCCGUCCAGCCUGGGCCUCCUGGGGCCCAGAGAAGAGCCAGGCCUGGAGGAGCUGCCAGCCGAGGGUACCAAGUUCUCUCAUUGAGGGAGUUUUGCCCCAGGGCCCCAAACAGACCACACACAGCCUUAGAUCUGAACCCAGGAGGCUUGGGGAUCCCCAGCUCCUUCCUUUUGCAGUAGGGACACCUGGGCUUCCAGGCUGGCUCUGCUAGACUCUGAAAGAACCCAUCAUCCCCUUUCCUGGGGCCUCCAGCUAGCCCUCUGCAUCGAUGUCCAGUUCCUUGCUGGGUCGUUCUGAUCAUGAAGAGUGCUGACUGGGGUGCUGCCCAUUCUUCAAGCUGGCCGCUCUCUUCCUGUCUCUCUGAGGAGUUGUACUCAAGCCCUACGUAGCCAGAGCCACUAAACCACUGCGCCUGACCCAGGGCUAGCCCUUUUCCAAAGAUUCCUGAGAGAUGGCUGAAAGGAUACCAAGAGACCCCAUCCUGACUUCUGCCCAGGGGCCACCUGCAGCUCCCAGGGAGGGAAGGAGCCAUGCAGUCUCUGCUAGGUAGCAGAGAAGUCAGAGGAUCAUCCCUCCCGGGCCCACGUGCAUCUAGGGUUUCCAAAACCCAUCCGUUUUUUCAACAGAUAUCUACCGCAUCCUACCAUAAGGCUCCAAGGCACUGAUUCUUCCUUCCAUGCUGAUUCUGUUACUACACUGC